rnacentral:rRNA from 1 species
UCCUACGGGAGGCAGCAGCCGAGAAUAUUUGUCAAUGGGCGAAAGCCUGAACGAGCGACGCCGCGUGGAGGAUGAAUGCCGUAAGGUUGUAAACUCCUUUUGAGAGGGACGAAAACCCAUAUUUCGUAAGGGAUAUGGUUUGACUGUACCUCUAGAAGAAGCCCCGGCUAACUACGUGCCAGCAGCCGCGGUAAUACGUAGGGGGCAAGCGUUGUCCGGAUUUACUGGGUGUAAAGGGCGCGUAGGCGGAUUUGUAAGUCAGAGGUGAAAGCCCGCAGCUUAACUGCGGAACUGCCUUUGAUACUGCUUAUCUUGAGUUCGGAAGAGAGAAGCGGAAUUCCAGGUGUAGUAGUGAAAUACGUAGAUAUCUGGAAGAACACCAGUGGCGAAGUCGGCUUCUUGGUCCGUAACUGACACUGAGGCGCGAAAGCGUGGGGAGCAAACAGGAUUAGAUACCCCGGUAGUCCAAGCCGAAU